UUAAGUCAGAUGUGAAAGACCCGGGGCGUUAACCUCGGAAUUGCAUUUGUAAACUAGGCAGGCUAGAGUCUUGUAGAGGGGGUAGGAAGUUUCAGGUGUAGCGGUGAAAUAGCGUAGAGAUCUGAAGGAAUACCAGUGGCGAAGGCGGCCCCCUCGGACAAAGACUGACGCUCAGAUGCGAAAGCGUGGGGAGCAAACAGGAUUAGAUACCCUGGUAG
rnacentral:rRNA from 1 species